rnacentral:misc_RNA from 1 species
GAUGAAGAACGUAGCGAAAUGCGAUAAGUAAUGUGAAUUGCAGAAUUCAGUGAAUCAUCGAAUCUUUGAACGCACAUUGCGCCCGCCAGCAUUCUGGCGGGCAUGCCUGUUCGAGCGUCUUUUCAACCCUCGAGCCCCCCCGGGGGCCUCGGUGUUGGGGGACGGCACACCAGCCGCCCCCGAAAUGCAGUGGCGACCCCGCCGCAGCCUCCCCUGCGUAGUAGCACACACCUCGCACCGGAGCGCGGAGGCGGUCACGCCGUAAAACGCCCAACUUUCUUAGAGUUGACCUCGGAUCAGGUAGGAAUACCCGCUGAACUUAAGCAUAUCAAUAAGCGGAGGA